rnacentral:tmRNA from 2 species
GGGGAUGCACUGGUUUCGAUUGGAACUUUUGUACUUUGAAGUUUGCAUGCAAGCAGGGCGGGCUGCUUUAAACAACUGCAAAACAAUAAACGCUAAUAAUAAUAAUUUAGCUUUAGCAGCUUAAUCUGCUACGGUUACCUGAGGAGUUUUCACUGUACUACGACGGAUAACCGAAAGACAAACGGUGAUAGUCCUUUAGAUGCUCUUAACAUAGGAUGAAAAUAUAAGAGCUGCUGUAUUUGAUAGGUCUGUCAGAGUCCAGUCAGAUACUUAAGAUUUAAAUCUGAAUAAGCGUGUAGGAUGCUUUGAGGGCGAGUCUCAAGACGCGGGUUCGAUUCCCGCCAUCUCCAAAA